GACGAACGCUGGCGGCGUGCUUAACACAUGCAAGUCGAACGGAAAGGCCCUGCUUUUGUGGGGUGCUCGAGUGGCGAACGGGUGAGUAACACGUGAGUAACCUGCCCUUGACUUUGGGAUAACUUCAGGCAACUGGGGCUAAUACCGGAUAGGAGCUCCUGCUGCAUGGUGGGGGUUGGAAAGUUUCGGCGGUUGGGGAUGGACUCGCGGCUUAUCAGCUUGUUGGUGGGGUAGUGGCUUACCAAGGCUUUGACGGGUAGCCGGCCUGAGAGGGUGACCGGCCACAUUGGGACUGAGAUACGGCCCAGACUCGUCCGGGAGGCAGCAGUGGGGAAUAGUGCACAAUGGGCGGAAGCCUGAUGCAGCAACGCCGCGUGCGGGAUGACGGCCUUCGGGUUGUAAACCGCUUUCGCCUGUGACGAAGCGUGAGUGACGGUAAUGGGUAAAGAAGCACCGGCUAACUACGUG
rnacentral:rRNA from 1 species